UUCAGGUAACUAUGGUGGUGGUGGGAACUAUAAUGACUUUGGAAAUUAUAGUGGACAGCAACAAUCUAAUUAUGGACCCAUGAAGGGGGGCAGUUUUGGUGGAAGAAGCUCAGGCAGUCCCUAUGGUGGUGGCUAUGGAUCUGGAGGUGGAAGUGGUGGAUAUGGUAGCAGAAGGUUUUAAAAUAAAACAAACGGCUACAGUUCUUAGCAGGAGAGAGAGCGAGGAGUUGUCAGGAAAGCUGCAGGUUACUUUGAGACAGUCGUCCUAAAUGCAUUAGAGGAACUGUAAAAAUCUGCCACAGAAGGAACGAUGAUCCAUAGUCAGAAAAGUUACUGCAGCUUAAACAGGAAGCCCUUCUUGUUCAGGACUGUCAUAGCCACAGUUUGCAAAAGUGCAGCUAUCGAUUAAUGCAAUGUAGUGUCAAUUAGAUGUACAUUCCUGAGGUCUUUUAUCUGUUGUAGCUUUGUCUUUUUCUUUUUCUUUUCAUUACAUCAGGUAUAUUGCCCUGUAAAUUGUGGUAGUGGUACCAGGAAUAAAAAAUUAAGGAAUUUUUAACUUUUCAAUAUUUGUGUAGUUCAGUUUUUCUACAUUUUAGUACAGAAACUUUAACAAAAUGCAGUUUUGAAGGUGUUUCCUUGUGAGUUAACAAGUAAAGAAGAUCAUUGUUAAUCACUAUUUUGUAUGAAUUUUGCUAAAGUUAACUGUAAAGAAACACCUACUGACUUGCAGUUUAAGGGGAAUCUAUUCUCCCAUUUCCAAAACCAUGAUGACUGGGCGCUGACAUGUGGAGAGAAUAGAUACUUGUAUGUUUGCAAAUGUGUGUUUUAGAUAAUUAGGAUUGGGUAAUAAAAAAUAGCAUAUUUGUGAAUUUAAUAGCAUUAAGAUUACAUUCAAAUGAAAAAGAUCUCAAAAUUUGCUGUUUGGUUUU
rnacentral:lncRNA from 1 species